AUAAUAAUUUGUCUUUUAAUUUAAGGCUGGAAUGAAUGAUUGGUCAAGGUAUAAACUGUCUUUAUUUAAUUAAUAUUGAAUUUAAUUUUUAAGUCAAAAAGCUUAAAUAAAUUUAAAGGACGAGAAGACCCUAUAGAGUUUAAUAAAAAUUAUUUUUUUGAAAUUUAAUUUUUUUUAAAAAUUUAAUUAAAUUAUUUUGUUGGGGCGAUAGAAAAAUUUAAUAAACUUUUUUAUAAUUUUUACAUUAAUUAAUGAUUUUUUGAUCCUAUAUUUUAGAUUAUUAGAAAAAAUUACCUUAGGGAUAACAGCGUUAUUUUUUUUAGAGUUCUUAUCAAUAAAGAAGAUUGC
rnacentral:rRNA from 1 species